rnacentral:rRNA from 1 species
AGAAUCAACGCUGGCGGCGUGCCUAACACAUGCAAGUCGCACGAGAAAGGGACUUCGGUCCUGAGUACAGUGGCGCACGGGUGAGCAACACGUGAAUAAUCUACCUCCGAGUGGGGAAUAACUGAGAGAAAUCUUAGCUAAUACCGCAUAACACUUACGAGUCAAAGCAGCAAUGCGCUUGGAGAGGAGUUCGCGGCAGGAUUAGUUAGUUGGCGGGGUAAUGGCCCACCAAGACGAUGAUCUGUA